GGCUUCAGGGAGAGGCUCAGACAGAAGACCGGACACCACAGAGGAUGAUGCCAGAGGGCCCCUCAAAAACUUCUGGGCUCCCGAGGCUCCUAAUCACGCUUGAGGGUGAACCUUCCGGGGAGACCCUCCCCUAGCCCAGCCCGAAAAGUCUCACCUCCUCCUCUAGGAAGUGGUUCUCCAGGAAGUCACAGAGAUGGCUCUCUCCACGCGCACGCAGAUCCCGAAGGGCUUGGUUCAGGAUCUUCCCCAGAACCUUUGUGGCUUCCUUGGCCUCCAGGGUUUUACCCCCACUCCUCUCGCGACGGCUUCUGUACUUUCCCGAAAAGGGCACGCAGCCGCCCCCUCCCCCACGCUGUUUUUGCAUUUUCAAGGGACGCUGGGUGAUCUCGCUUCUCCUCGCCAACGGGCAGAAGUGGCCGACGCCCUGCGGAGCCACACCCUCCAGGCCAGAUAGAAGCCCAGAGAAAGGCAGACAAGUACAUCUGUGUGAGGGACUCUUGGGUUCAAAUUUUUCUGCUCCUCUCACAUAUGGACCUUUGUCAAGAAUAGCUGCCCUGAACUUCUCCAGCAGAUGGAAGUUCAUCUCUUCCAUGACAUCUGUUUUGCCAUUUUGCUCCAUAGCUAUUCAAGACUUUCAAGCACUGCUCUGUAUGCUCUUCCUAGAGAUUCCCUCUGCUUCAGAUGCAGUGAUGAGAAUGUCCGCCUCUGUGCUUCUUCAGUGACAAUGACACACCCAUAACACCCCCUGAGCUCCACCCUGCUUUCAGUAGCUGCCUCUGCAUGUUACCUCACUUCUGUGUUCUUCCAUAGUUUUUCUGAUGAUGAAACAGUGGAGUGAUUACUUUCCAUCCUAUACAUCUCAAUUAGGUCUUGGUUAAAAAUAGAUUUUCCCUUGCAAGAAA